rnacentral:rRNA from 1 species
UGGGGAAUUUUGGACAAUGGGGGAAACCCUGAUCCAGCCAUCCCGCGUGUGCGAUGAAGGCCUUCGGGUUGUAAAGCACUUUUGUCCGGAAAGAAAUGGCUCUGGUUAAUACCUGGGGUCGAUGACGGUACCGGAAGAAUAAGGACCGGCUAACUACGUGCCAGCAGCCGCGGUAAUACGUAGGGUCCAAGCGUUAAUCGGAAUUACUGGGCGUAAAGCGUGCGCAGGCGGUUGUGCAAGACCGAUGUGAAAUCCCCGAGCUUAACUUGGGAAUUGCAUUGGUGACUGCACGGCUAGAGUGUGUCAGAGGGGGGUAGAAUUCCACGUGUAGCAGUGAAAUGCGUAGAGAUGUGGAGGAAUACCGAUGGCGAAGGCAGCCCCCUGGGAUAACACUGACGCUCAUGCACGAAAGCGUGGGGAGCAAAACAGGAUUAGAUACCCUGGUAGUCCACG